rnacentral:misc_RNA from 1 species
GUAUCGCUACAUGUAGCAUAUCCAUUAAAAAUUGGUUAUUCCAUUAAUUAAGUUGUUAAAAUCAAGGUGAAAAUUCUGAAUGAAAAGGAAAAUCGACGAACCUGAGGUGUCCCGCGCGACUCUCAAUCCUUCAGGAUCUUCUAGGGUUCUUUCAGCUGUUGUUCUCCCUGGGGAUGUUCUCCUCGACAGAACGAGCUAUCUGCCCUUGGAAGCACGCAGGAUCUCGCGCAUGUUACCGCACCGGACUCCCUCACAACGUGCACGAGUCAUUCUGUGACACCCGCGAGUCCCUCAUCCCCGUAAUCGAUCCUCGAAACACCAUCCAAACCUCUGUGAUCCUCACGAAUUCCUACUGCGGCACGUGCCACGAUCGGUUUCCAAACACCUGGAGGCCGACUCUGGAUCAAGACUCUAGCAACUAGAGUGUCUUGCGAGCUACGGUCG